rnacentral:misc_RNA from 1 species
AACGCACAUUGCGCCCCGUGGCAUUCCGCGGGGCAUGCCUGUUCGAGCGUUGGUGAACGACCCCUCCACCCCCCGGUGCGCCGGGCGGGUGGGCGUUGAGCGUCGACCUCUGGGGGGUACCCCCCGGACGCUCUCAAGCCGUGGGCGGCGCCCGCGAGCCCCGGACGAAGUGGAUCGUAAGAUGUCGUCUCGGCGGGCUCCGGGCGCUGGCCUGGGCGCUGGCCCCGCCAGUCAGCCCCCCCUUCACCUCAGUUCUGACCUCGGAUCAGGUAGGGAUACCCGCUGAACUUAA